rnacentral:rRNA from 1 species
AACGAACGCUGGCGGCGUGCCUAACACAUGCAAGUCGAACGUGAUUAGAGAGCUUGCUCUCUAUGAAAGUGGCGCACGGGUGAGUAACGCGUAGAUAAUCUGCCUGAUGAUCCGGGAUAACACUUCGAAAGGGGUGCUAAUACCGGAUAAGCCCACGGGGUCCUUGGACUCUGCGGGAAAAGGGGGGGAUCGCAAGACCUUCCGUCAUCAGAUGAGUCUGCGUACCAUUAGCUAGUUGGUAGGGUAAAGGCCUACCAAGGCGACGAUGGUUAGCUGGUCUGAGAGGAUGAUCAGCCACACUGGAACUGAGACACGGGCCAGACUCCUACGGGCGGCAGCAGUGGGAAAUUUUGCGCAAUGGGGGAAACCCUGACGCAGCAACGCCGCGUGAGUGAUGAAGGCCCUUGGGUCGUAAAGCUCUGACAGAGGGAAAGAAGUGUACGGUGGCUAAUAUCCAUUGUACUUGACGGUACCCUCAAAGGAAGCACCGGCUAACUCCGUGCCAGCAGCCGCAGUAACAC